GUGGGGAAUAUUGGACAAUGGGCGAAAGCCUGAUCCAGCCAUGCCGCGUGUGUGAAGAAGGUCUUCGGAUUGUAAAGCACUUUAAGUUGGGAGGAAGGGCAGUAAGUUAAUACCUUGCUGUUUUGACGUUACCGACAGAAUAAGCACCGGCUAACUUCGUGCCAGCAGCCGCGGUAAUACGAAGGGUGCAAGCGUUAAUCGGAAUUACUGGGCGUAAAGCGCGCGUAGGUGGUUUUGUAAGUUGGAGGUGAAAUCCCCGGGCUCAACCUGGGAGCUGCCUCCAAAACUGCAUGACUAGAGUACGGUAGAGGGUAGUGGAAUUUCCUGUGUAGCGGUGAAAUGCGUAGAUAUAGGAAGGAACACCAGUGGCGAAGGCGACUACCUGGACUGAUACUGACACUGAGGUGCGAAAGCGUGGGGAGCAAACAGGAUUAGAUACCCGAGUAGUCC
rnacentral:rRNA from 1 species